UGCAAGUCGAACGAUGAACCCGCUUCGGUGGGGGAUUAGUGGCGAACGGGUGAGUAACACGUGGGCAAUCUGCCCUUCACUCUGGGACAAGCCCUGGAAACGGGGUCUAAUACCGGAUAAUACUCCUGCAGGCAUCUGUGGGGGUUAAAAGCUCCGGCGGUGAAGGAUGAGCCCGCGGCCUAUCAGCUUGUUGGUGAGGUAGUGGCUCACCAAGGCGACGACGGGUAGCCGGCCUGAGAGGGCGACCGGCCACACUGGGACUGAGACACGGCCCAGACUCCUACGGGAGGCAGCAGUGGGGAAUAUUGCACAAUGGGCGAAAGCCUGAUGCAGCGACGCCGCGUGAGGGAUGACGGCCUUCGGGUUGUAAACCUCUUUCAGCAGGGAAGAAGCGAAAGUGACGGUACCUGCAGAAGAAGCGCCGGCUAACUACGUGCCAGCAGCCGCGGUAAUACGUAGGGCGCAAGCGUUGUCCGGAAUUAUUGGGCGUAAAGAGCUCGUAGGCGGUCUGUCGCGUCGGAUGUGAAAGCCCGGGGCUUAACCCCGGGUCUGCAUUCGAUACGGGCAGACUAGAGUGUGGUAGGGGAGAUCGGAAUUCCUGGUGUAGCGGUGAAAUGCGCAGAUAUCAGGAGGAACACCGGUGGCGAAGGCGGAUCUCUGGGCCAUUACUGACGCUGAGGAGCGAAAGCGUGGGGAGCGAACAGGAUUAGAUACCCUGGUAGUCCACGCCGU
rnacentral:rRNA from 1 species